rnacentral:tRNA from 1 species
AUCUUUUGAGUAUUUCACGUACAUUUGCCUUCCAAGCAAAAAGAUUAAUUAUAUUUAAAAAAGAUA